AACGAACGCUGGCGGCAUGCCUAAUACAUGCAAGUCGAACGAGAUCUUCGGGUCUAGUGGCGCACGGGUGCGUAACGCGUGGGAAUCCGCCCUUUGGUUCGGAAUAACAGUUGGAAACGACUGCUAAUACCGGAUGAUGACGAAAGUCCAAAGAUUUAUCGCCAGAGGAUGAGCCCGCGUAGGAUUAGCUAGUUGGUGUGGUAAAGGCGCACCAAGGCGACGAUCCUUAGCUGGUCUGAGAGGAUGAUCAGCCACACUGGGACUGAGACACGGCCCAGACUCCUACGGGAGGCAGCAGUGGGGAAUAUUGGACAAUGGGCGAAAGCCUGAUCCAGCAAUGCCGCGUGAGUGAUGAAGGCCUUAGGGUUGUAAAGCUCUUUUACCCGGGAUGAUAAUGACAGUACCGGGAGAAUAAGCUCCGGCUAACUCCGUGCCAGCCGCCGCUGUAA
rnacentral:rRNA from 1 species